rnacentral:rRNA from 1 species
GUUCAAAUGAGGAAGGGAUUAUGGUGGAUACCUAGGCACUCGGAGAUGAGGAAGGGCAUGGUAAGCGACAAAAUGCUUCAGGGAGUUGAAAAUGAGCAUAGAUCCAGAGAUUCCCAAAUAGGUUAACCUUUUUAACUACUGCUGAAUCCAUGGGUAGGCAAGAGACAACCUAGAAAACUGAAGCAUAUUCUUAGCCAAAGGAAUAGAAAGAAAAAGUGAUUCCCAUAGUAGCGGCGAGAGAAAUGGGAGCAGCCUAAACCGUGAAAAAGGGGUUGUGGGAGAGCACAAUAUAAUCUCUGUACUGCUAGGUGAAGCAGUUGAGUCCUACACCCUAGAUGGUGAGAUUCCAGUAUCCAAAAGCAUCAUUGGGUUACGCUCUAACCUGAGUAGCAUGGGGCACAUGGAAUCCUGUGUGAAUCGGCAAGGACCACCUUGCAAGGCUAAAUACUUGUAGGUGGCCGAUAGCGAAGUAGUACCGUGAGGGAAAGGUGAAAAGAACCCCCAUCGGAAAGUGAAAUAGAACAUGAAACCAUAAUAUCCUAAGCAGUGGGAGGAAAAUGAUAUCUCUGACUGCGUGCCUGUUGAAGAAUGACCUAAUGACUUAUAGGCAGUGGCUUGGUUAAGGGAACCCACCGGAGCUGUAGCAAGAGCGAGUCUUCAAGGGGAAAUUGUCACUGCUUAUGGAUUCGAACCUGGGUGAUCUAUCCAUGACCAGGAUGAAGCUUGGGUGAAACUAAGUGGAGGUCCGAACUGACUGAUGUUGAAAAAUAAACGGAUGAGUCGUGGUUAGGGGUGAAAUGCCACUCGAACCUAGAGCUAGCUAGUUAUCCCCGAAAUGCGUUGAGGCACAAUAGUUGACUGGACCAUCUAGGGAUAAAUCACUGUUUCAGUAUGGGCCAUGAGAGUGGUACCAAAUCGAGGCAAACUCUGAAUACUAUAUUUCCCCAAUAAAAUGGGUAAAGGUCAACCAAUGAGACAAUGGGGGAUAAUCUUCAUCAUCGAGAGGGAAACAACCCAAAUCAUCAGCUAAGGCCCCUAAAUGACUGCUCAAGGAUGAAGGAAGUAUGAGUGCAAAGAAAUCCAAGAGGUUUUCCUAGAAGUAGCCAACCUUGAAAGAGUGUGUAAUAGCUCACUGAUCAAGUGCUCUUGUGCUGAAGAUGAAUGGGACUAAGCGAUCUGUCGAAGCUGUGGGAUGUAAAAAUACAUCGGUAGGGGAGAAUUCUACCUCAGAGGGAAGCAUCGACGUGAACAUGUGUGGAUGAAGCGGAAGUGAGAAUGUUGGCUUGAGUAACACAAACAUUGGUGAGAAUCCAAUGCCCUAAAAACCUAAGGGUUCCUCCGCAAGGUUCGUCCAUUGAGGCUGAGUUAGGGCCUAAUAUCAGGCCGAAACGCGUAGUCGAUGGAAAAUAGGUUAAUAUUCUUGUACUACCCCUUGUUGGUCCCGAGGGACAGAGCAUGCUAGGUUAGCCGAAAGAUGGUUAUCGAUUCAAGGAUGCAAGGUGACCCUGCUUUUUUUAGGGUAAGAAGGGGUAGAGAAAAUGACUUGAGCCAAUGUCUGAGUACCAAGCGCUACAAAAAUGAAGUAACCCAUGCCAUACUCCUAGGAAAAGCUCAAACAACAUUUAACAAAUGUGUACCUGUUCCCAAAACUGACAUAGGUAUGUAGGUAGAGAAUACCUAGGGGCGCGAGACAACUCUCUCUAAGGAACUCGAAAAAAUAGCCCCGUAACUUCAGGAGAAGGAGUGCCUCCUCAAGAGGUCAUAGUGAUUAGGCUCGGGAAACUGUUUACCAAAAACACAGGUCUCCACAAAGUCGUAAGACCAUGUAUGGGGGCUGACGCCUACCCGGUGCCGGAAGGUUAAGGAAGUUGGUGACCUGAUGAUGGGGAAGCCAGCAACCGAAGCCCCGGUGAAUGACAACCAUAACUAUAAUGGUCCUAAGGUAGAGAAAUUCCUCGUUGGGUAAUUUUUGACCCACAUGAAAGGCGUAAUGAUCUGGGCACUAUCUCAGAGAGAGACUCGGUGAAAUAGACAUGUUUGUGAAGAUGCAGACUACCUGCACCUAGAUAGAAAGACCCUAUGAAGCUUUAUUGUUCCCUAGGAUUGUCUUUGGGUUCUUCUUGUGUAGCUUAGGUGGAAGGAGAAGAAGGCUCCCUCUCGGGGGGGCCUGAGCCACCAGUGAGAUACCACUCUUGAAGAGCUAGAAUUCUAACCUUGUGUCAGGACCUACGGGCUAAUGGACAAUCUCAGGCAGACAGUUUCUAUGGGGCAUAGGCCUCCCAAAGGUAACAGAGGCAUGCAGAGGUUUCCUCAGGCCGGACAAAAAUCAAACCUCGAGUGCAAAGGUAGAAGGGGGCUUGACUGCAAGACCCACCCAUCGAGUAGGGAUGAAAGUUAGACUUAGUGAUAUGAUGGUGCUGAGUGGAAGGGCCAUCGCUCAACGGAUAAAAUUUACUCUAGGGAUAACAGGAUGAUCUUCUCCAAGAGUUCACAUCGACGUGAAGGUUUGACAACUUGAUGUCAGCUCUUCGCCACCUGGGGUGGUAGUAGAUUCCAAGGGUUGGGAUAUUCACCCAGUAAAGUGGUACGUGAACUGGGUUUAGAACAUCGUGAGAUAGUUCGGUCCAUAUCUAGUGCAGGCUUUAGAGCAUUGAGAGAACCUUUCCCUAGUACGAGAGGACUGGGAAGGACACACCUUUGGUGUACCAGUUAUCAUGCCCACGGUAGAUGUUGGGUAGCCAAAUGCAUAGCGGAUAACUACUAAAAUAAUAUAAGUAGGAAUCCCACCCUAAGAUGAGUGCUCUCCUAUUAUUACUUCCCUGAGAGCCCUAGUCAUGAACAU